UGCCAGCCGCCGCGGUAAGACGAACCGUCCAAACGUUAUUCGGAAUCAUUGGGCGUAAAGGGCGCGCAGGCGGUUAUGCAAGCCUGGUGUGAAAGACCGAAGCUCAACUGCGGGAACGCGCUGGGAACUGUAUGACUGGAGUUCAAGAGGGGAAGCUGGAAUUCCUGGUGUAGGGGUGAAAUCUGUAGAUAUCAGGAAGAACAUCAGUGGCGAAGGCGAGCUUCUGGCUAUGAACUGACGCUGAGGCGCGAAAGCGUGGGGAGCAAACAGGAUUAGAUA
rnacentral:rRNA from 1 species